rnacentral:rRNA from 1 species
UGUGCUAAGGUAGCAUAAUAAUUUGUCUCUUAAUUAGAGACUGGAAUGAAUGGAAUCACGAGAGUCAAGCUGUCUCUUUUCUAUAAAUAAAAAUUAAUCUUUAGGUGAAAAAGCCUAAAUACUAUAAAAAGACAAAAAGACCCUAUUGAGUUUUAUUACAUAAGCUUUAACCUAUAAUAAAAUAAAUUUCUUAAGUCAAAAGUAAUUUAGUUGGGGCGACUGAGGAAAAGAAUAAAUCUUCCUUAAAGUUUAAGGAUAUAAUCCUAUUCAAUGAUCCGCAGAAGCGAUUAAAAGAAAUAACUACCAUAGGGAUAACAGGCUAAUUUCCUUCAAGAGCCCAUAUUGACAAGGAAGU